UACGUAGGGUGCAAGCGUUAAUCGGAAUUACUGGGCGUAAAGCGCGCGCAGGCGGCUGAGUCAGUCGGUUGUGAAAGCCCUGGGCUUAACCUGGGAAUUGCAGUCGAUACUACUCAGCUAGAGUAUGGGAGAGGGUAGUGGAAUUCCCGGUGUAGCGGCGAAAUGCGUAGAUAUCGGGAGGAACAUCAGUGGCGAAGGCGGCUACCUGGCCCAAUACUGACACUCAGGUGCGAAAGCGUGGGGAGCAAACAGG
rnacentral:rRNA from 1 species